GUUCCUUUUUCCAUUUCCCUGAUUUCGCCGAAUCCUCUCUUCCUCGCUGUCUUCGCCGAACCCCUGAUUCUCCAUCUUCCCCUCUCGCGAAAUCUUCUUCUCCACAAGCCCUCCUCAUCCGAUCACCGCUCCUCACCCCGAUCCCUUCUUCUCUCUACGUCGUUGUUAGCCUCCACGGCUCAACGCCUGCCACCAGGCACCCGAGCGCCACCCGAUCUCCCCUCUCCAAGUCGCGGGCACUAGGUGCUCGCCGGAAGCCGAGCAUUGGAGUUCCUCAUUUGGUCGUGCCCUACUUUGGAUCCACCAUCGUCGUGCCCUAGUGAUGUGACAUGCCCAACGCUUGCACAAAUCCAACACCUUCUUCUUUGAGCCGUGCCCUGCUGAUGCACAAACCCCCUACCGUGCACGCCACGACCACUGUCGCAUGCCAUGUAUCUUUCGCCCCUUCGAUCGAUGCCGUGAGCAUUCUACCACCAAGUGCUGACAUCGCCUAAAGAGGGAAUCGAUGCAUGGGGGUUUAGGGCUACAAAUAGUUGCAAAUCCAAGGCUAUAGCGACCAUCUUCGUGACAGAAUUUCGACAACCAUAGUAGGCCGGUGAUCUCUUAUGGGUUGCUAAGGGCAGAUUCACCACUGUUAGAGAAGGAGCCAAGUUAUCAUGUUGUAGAGAUGACAUCAGCUCCACCUAGCGCCAACCACUCAUUGCCUGUAGCAACCGCUUCAGUUAUGAGAUGACAAGGGAGCAACCAGAUUAAGGACUUUAAUUCGAGGCGAGCAUCUCGACGUGAGAUUACUUGACACGAUCUACGUAUAAAGGCGGGUACCUUUGACUUAUCUCUUUUGAUAUUAUCAUUCUGAUAUGUUUAGUAGAUUAUAACUAAUAGUAAUUGUUAUGUUAUUAUCUGCUUUGGUAUGUCACUACUUGAUACCGUAGUAUGCCUAUAGUGUUAUCUGUUGUGCAUUUCUGCUUGUGUCUUCUUGAUUCUUGCCAUGCGUACUUUUUUUCAUAGAAGUAGUGACAUACAAUGUUGUACCGGAUAUAGGUCCAGCUACUAGUUUACCACUUGACAUGUGUAUCUAGAUUUAUUUACAUAGAUCAUUGUUAUGGACUUGGUUUCCUUUUUGGUACACAUUAUGAGGAGGCUGAUAUUUUUCAGGGUUUACAUGCUUUAGUGUCAUGCACCAUUCUACAUGAUUGCAUGCUGACCGAUUAUCGGCUCCAUUGUUGUUACAUGAUCUGCACACACAACCACUCAUGAGUUAGUGGUAUAUCAAGAAGGGUGUGUGCAGUUUGUUCUGUAAGGGCUCUACUAGUCCGCUCAUGGGUGGUGUGACUGCAGCGUGGUAGCGGGCAGGGAUCCCUCCCCUUGAUUAUGAUACAGGGAGAUGAGAGCUUAGGCUCCCCCACUAUGUUUGGGGUAGGAGGAUAUGUGUACUCCGACAGCAUCCUGUCCA